rnacentral:lncRNA from 1 species
AUUCACGGGAGAUUUUUCACGGUCUUCUUUCUUUCACCGUGGCCAACAGGCCAAGCUCCUCACGGGUCCUCACCCGCCGCCAUGCUCCUCACCUGAGGUCUCCUCAUCCACGCCCAGGCUCCUCACCGCGCCCACGCCAGCAGGGGGCUUGCGCCAGCAGCCAGCGCUCUCCGGUCCCCACACCACCGACUGCAGCCGGUGGUUGUUCGAUUGCCGCCCCGAAGCUCUCCACCAUCGCCGCCGUCGACGCCCUCCACGUUGGCUGCUCCUCCUACAACAGGUGUAAGAGAACGGGGUUUGCAUUUUUGAUUUGAUGUUUGAUUGCCAGCAUGCCUACAAAAUAAUCAGUACAUUCUGUUUCCUAAAAUCCAAACCCUAGGUUACAUAAGAAAAGGAAAAAGGUAGUUAUCGGAUGGAGUCCAUCUCAAUUGAUGAUUUCCAUGGGUAUGCUCUGCUAUCACUUUGUUGUUAGUUGACGAGUAGGAAGCACAGUAGCAGUGCAAUUUCGCUAACCGCUAACCUAUUUAUUUCCAGCAUUGAUGAUGAGUCUUUAGCAAUAGUAGAAGCUCAUGUUCGACAUGAUCAGCCACUAGCUGCUAUUGACUGGGACACACUACAUAUUUUUGAUAGUACAGAUGAAGAAGGAAGGAUAGAAAUAGUUGAUGAUAACCAAAUGUAUGUGCUAUUGGGGCUAAGAGAUGAGGAUGAGGCUGCUGAUAAGGGUAGUGAAACUUUCGAGCAGGCAGACAAUGCACAUGCAGCUAGUGGCAAUGACACCUUUGUUGACAAUGACACUCUUGGUGCAGCCAUCCUUGUUAAUGAUGACAUACCAGGGGAGAGGGUGGUGGUGCAUGAUCCGGAUAAUCCUUGUAUGGAUAUUGGAACUGUGUACCCAAGCAUGCGUGAAUUUAGGUUGGCUAUGAGACAGUUUGCUAUAAAUGAAGAGUUUGAGCUGCAAAUCGUGAAAACUGACCCGAGUCGAUUUAUUGGUGAUUGCAAAGGGGAGGAUUGCCCGUGGCAUAUCGUGGGCCGUAGGCAACCCGAUGGGAAGACUGUUAUGGUAUUUAUAAUUGGUGGCCUUUGAUUUUUGUAUGUAACAUUGUCCUUCAUUUAUAUGGUUACUAAUUGAUUUUUUUGUUUGUGUUGUAGGUGACAGUGUUACUUGAUGAACACAAUUGUACCUCCAGCGCUAGAAGAAAGACCACUACACCUACUAGUGCAUGUGUGGCAUCAAAGGCUAUUCAUCUGUUAAAGAAUUCAGCCAUGGGAACUAAAGAUGCUGAUAUGUGAAAUCAGCUAGUAUUUAUUAGUAGCAUGUAUCUGAGAUGUGAACUGAACCACUAUUAGUAGCAUGUAUCUGAGAUGUGAACUCGACCACUAUUAGUAGCAUGUAUCUGAGAUGUGAACUCAACCACUAUUAUGUAUCUAAGAAAGUUUGAGAUGGCUACUUGCCUUUUCUCAUAUGGAGAGCCAUGUCUAUCUGAUGUGAGGUUUGUGUGAAAAAUUCUCAUCUGAAGCUUGUGUGUAAAUCUGAUGUGAUGCUUUAUUAUGGUGAGUCUAACUGAUGUAUCUGAUGCUUGUGUGAAAAUUCUAAUGUGAUUCUCAUGUAUCAAGUCUGUAUAAGGUUUGCUGCUACAGACCAUUGUAAGGUUAGUGGUGCUGUUGUAAUUAUUGUG